rnacentral:rRNA from 1 species
AGCUCCAAUAGCGUAUAUUAAAGUUGUUGCGGUUAAAAAGCUCGUAGUUGGAUCUCGGCGAGCAGGGGGCGGUUCGUUGUUUGACGCUACUGCCCCAUUUGCUCGUGUUGGUUUGACGGUAUGUUGGAGGUCCCCUUGACUGGGUGUCUUCAGUGGCCGUCAGGUUUACUUUGAAAAAAUUAGAGUGCUCAAAGCAGGCUUGUCAAGCUUGAAUAUUCGUGCAUGGAAUAAUGGAAUAGGAAGUCGUUCCUAUUUUGUUGGUUUUAAGUCACAGACUUAAUGAUUAAUAGGGACAACUGGGGGCAUUAGUAUUCGGACGACAGAGGUGAAAUUCUUGGACCGUCUGGAGACUAACUACUGCGAAAGCAUUUGCCAAGAGUGUUU